CCCGGCCCAUACACGUGUAUCUCUCUUCAGAAUCUUCUCCUCUCUCCCCGUAAUUUCUCCACUUUCACCGGCUGAACCGUCUUCUCCCUGACGCACCGGCGGGGAGGACGAGCUCGAUGGACUGCAUCCCACGUGCUCCGGCGAAGUCGGCUUCAUGUCUCGCGCCGGCCCCCUCCUUAUCCAUGAUCGUGUUGGCGCUUUAUUUUUCACUAGGUGACCUAGAUCUUCACUCAUCAACGAUGAAGAUGCAGGAGCAAGACGAGGUCUAAUCGGAGCGGCGGUUCCUGAGGCUUUGCUGGCGGCACUGGAUGGGGAUACGGCAAGGACGGAGAAGGCGGCCUCGACGACAUCUCCAACAACUACGCCAGCGGCUGCGGCGUGAUGGAGAAGGAGCAGGAGCCGCAGUCGCCACCGCAAUCUCUGCGUAGCAGGCCAUGGGGUCGGUGAGGAUGCAGACGUGAAGAGGCCGGCGAAUACUGGAGUUCGUCCGCCGGCGGGUCCUCGAACCAAGGCGAGCGGCGGCCGCCUCAUCUGAUCGUAACCGCGCGAUAGUAUCUGGUCGUUCGUCAGCGGCUUGCAGAAAACGGGGACCGAGAGCAUCCGUGACGAACGGCAAAAGAUAAGUCUCCGGCUGUAGCAGCUCUGCAUAUUUUAUCCCCUUUCUUUUAUCCCCCGUUUUUCUCAUUUGCAGGACCAAUGGAGGAGGCCGACGAACCAACCACAAAGAAUCUUUCUCCCCAACUCAUCCCAUCUCCCUACAACAACAUCUUAUCUCCCUAAUUUGCCGUUUGAGCGCUGGAUCUAUUUUUCUCUUUUUCCCUCUCUUAAUACCUUGCAUAAUCUGAUUAUUGCAUUGUUUCAGGAGGUUCAUGAGUUUGAUGUACUAGAUGGAGGAGCAGACUGUUCUGGUUCCGCUCAAGAUGCAGCAACGACAGCAGUUCGCUGCGAUUCAGCCAUAGUACAUCUUCCAGACCAUGCCCUAGCUCGCGGCUGUCUUCUCGGGAACCAAUGAUGCUACCGUCUCCGCGCCGCCGGCCGUGUUGGCCAUGGCCUUUUACCCUCCUCCACCGCCGUCGGCUUCCACUACACCAAUGCCCUGGGCCGAGACGCCAUUGGUGACAGGGUCUCAUUCCAGCAGGCGUCCCCUGGGGUCGACAGCAUGGCUUUCGCAACAGCUGCAGCACCGGCCAGGGCUAACAACAAGAAAAGGUGAGUUAUUAGCCAGCCGGUGCAAAAUGUAUAAUUCAUAGUUAGUUCAAAAUUUAACCUGUGUGUUAUUGCCCGUGGAAAUCUAUUCUUUUACCAACAACAGACCAUAUCUUUCAAACUUGCAGAAUUAUAAGCUAACCUGGGCUCACGAUUCCAUAACAUUAGGUUUGUUGAGUAGUAUUUAUUUAAGAGAAUUUUAUGUACGAGAUGAAGAAAUUAGGGAUGUGUUCAAUUACAUGUAAAGAAUUGCAUUACCAUGUAAAAUCAAUUUUGAAGUACUGCGCUUUGUAAAUGGUCAAAAGUGAAAUGUAUUAGAGAUGAGAGAAGAAUUGAUUGUGUGGUUCCAGUGAUCUACUAAUAGUCUAAUAUUAUAGAAUUAUGCACAAACACGAGCUACGCAACACUUAUUUAUAGCUGCUCAGUCUACUUGGAGUGAAUGACAGCGUAUACGGGAUUGCUGAAUCCACGAUAGGACAUCUAGCUAGGCUCUGGUCAUGGCAGGAGGCUGCAGCUGCUCAAGAUCUGGGAGUAAAGCACAGAACGGCUGGGUGCGCUGCGCAGGGGCAUCGCAUUCACCGGCGAGAUUAGGUGAACUGAGUUAUUUCUGGAGAAUCUGGUUAUGGUCGAUUUUGUUAUGGAGAUUCCUACAUAGUUUUGCAGGGUGCAUUUCAGUGAAGACAACGCAUGGGUCGUGUGCCACCCUUGUGCCAGCUUUGGAGCAGCUGGAGAAUGUGGACUCUGCGUUGAAGUUUCCGAAGUUUCCGACAGCUAUAUGUAAUUCGUCUAGCUGGCCCUUGUGUUUGAACAAAUUUUUAUUGAACGAACCAAGGCAUGUACACGUACUUGCUAAUUUUCUGUUGAUUUUGCUAGCAACCGGUGGUGGUUGUAUUGCUGUCCUACGGCUCAUUCAGCUAUUUCAUUUGUGUUGCUUGAUAAUUCACCGAUGAAAAUCUGUAACAACCGAACAACCUUUACUAGAUGGUAAACUUUCCUUCGGAUUUUGUGGCCAAACAGCAGAUUACUUUCCACCUGAUCUGUUUAUUUUUGCAUUGGACCAUUUAUACGUGCAAGGUAACUCUUGGUCAUUUGUUAUUGAGAUGCUACUACUCUUUGUCCAUAUGUCUCUUGAUAUAAACCGAAGUGGUCAUCUGCUAUUUA